CAAAGCCACGUUGCUGCCCUGUCCUCCACUGAGAUGCAGCCGGUGCCUGGGUGGAGGUGUCGGGCAUGGCACAGCCAGGAGGAAAUGACGCUGCAGCUCCCCGGCUGUGAGCAUGGGCUAAUUUAUAGAGGCCAAAUGUAAUUACUUACCCUGGCAUGCAGCCAGGACACCAAGGUUAACACCUUUGCUCUCCAGAGAGUGCCAGGGGAACGUCAGAGGGAUGAUGCCAAGUCAUUUUAUACGCCUCGACUUCAGACAACUGCUCCCAGUAGGCUGCUUACACCCAGGUCUCUACUCACACCCGUGGCUUCCUGUGGAUGCUUGUUUGGCCACAGCUUUGGAGAACAGCUGGUCAUUCCUAGAGGACAACCUCAGACUGAUCCUGGAGAGAUAAAUGGAACUCACCAGAGAAGAUGCACAAAUUUAGGGCAGAACUAAACACUACUAAUGCACUCAGCACAACUGAAGAGCUUAAGGGCUUGAACAUGGAGGAAAUGUAAUUUUA